GAUGAACGCUAGCGGCAGGCCUAAUACAUGCAAGUCAUGGGGCCCAGCAAUGGGCACCGGCGGACGGGUGCGUAACGCGUACACAACAUACCUUUAAGUGGGGGAUAGCAUUGGGAAACUGGUGGUAAUACCCCAUAAUACUAUUGGGAGGCAUUUUCUGAUAGUUAAAGCUCCGGCGCUUAGAGAUUGGUGUGCGUCCGAUUAGCUAGUUGGUAGGGUAACGGCCUACCAAGGCGACGAUCGGUAGGGGGUGUGAGAGCAUGACCCCCCACACGGGUACUGAGACACGGACCCGACUCCUACGGGAGGCAGCAGUAAGGAAUAUUGGACAAUGGAGGGAACUCUGAUCCAGCCAUGCCGCGUGAAGGAUGAAGGCGCUCAGCGUUGUAAACUUCUUUUGGAUGGGAACAAUAACUUCUACGUGUAGGAGCCUGAGGGUACCAUCAGAAUAAGCACCGGCUAACUCCGUGCCAGCAGCCGCGGUAACAC
rnacentral:rRNA from 1 species